CCUACGGGGGGCAGCAGUGGGGAAUAUUGCACAAUGGGGGAAACCCUGAUGCAGCGACGCCGCGUGAGUGAAGAAGUAUUUCGGUAUGUAAAGCUCUAUCAGCAGGGAAGAAAAUGACGGUACCUGAUUAAGAAGCCCCGGCUAACUACGUGCCAGCAGCCGCGGUAAUACGUAGGGGGCAAGCGUUAUCCGGAUUUACUGGGUGUAAAGGGAGCGUAGACGGGAGCACAAGUCUGGAGUGAAAUGCCGGGGCCUAACCCCGGAACUGCUUUGGAAACUGUGCAGCCAGAGUGCAGGAGAGGUAAGUGGAAUUCCUAGUGUAGCGGUGAAAUGCGGAGAUAAUAAGAGGAACACCAGUGGCGAAGGCGGCUUACUGGACUGUAACGGACGUUGAGGCUCGAAAGCGUGGGGAGCAAACAGGAUUAGAUACCCUUGUAGUC
rnacentral:rRNA from 1 species